rnacentral:rRNA from 1 species
CCGGCGCACGGGUGAGUAACGCGUAUCCAACCUUCCCAUUACUGUGGGAUAACCUGCCGAAAGGCAGACUAAUACCGCAUAGUCUUCGAUGACGGCAUCAGAUUUGAAGUAAAGAUUUAUCGGUAAUGGAUGGGGAUGCGUCUGAUUAGCUUGUUGGCGGGGUAACGGCCCACCAAGGCGACGAUCAGUAGGGGUUCUGAGAGGAAGGUCCCCCACAUUGGAACUGAGACACAGUCCAAACUCCUACGGGAGGCAGCAGCU